rnacentral:rRNA from 1 species
UUGAAACUACUGUUCUCAGAUGAGUCCGCGGUCCAUUAGCUAGUUGGYGGGGUAAUGGCCCACCAAGGCGACGAUGGAUAGCUGGUUUGAGAGGAUGAUCAGCCACACUGGAACUGAGACACGGUCCAGACUCCUACGGGAGGCAGCAGUGGGGAAUUUUGCGCAAUGGGCGMAACCCUGACGCAGCAACGCCGCGUGAGKGAUGAAGGCUUUCGGRCCGUAAACCUCUGUCAGRRGGGAAGAACCGUYUGUUGGAUAAUACCCCACAGACUUGACGGUACCUUYAGAGGAAGCACCGGCUAACUC